GCUGGGUGCAUGGUGCACACUUGUAGUCCCAGCCACUAAGGAGGCUGAGACAGGAGGAUUGGUUGAACCUAGGAGUUUGAGGCCAGCUUGGGAAACAUGGUAAGACCCUGUAUCUC
rnacentral:sRNA from 1 species